UCACUGGAAGGAAAAAGAUGCUUAUUUUAAAUGUUGCCGUAUACAAGUUGCUUUGUUACAAUAAAAUCAAUGUUACACAAUGGACCUGAUGCUUUUCUGUCAGAACAGAUGCUCCACAGACCUUCCAAGUUUGACCUGCAUAAUGACAUCAUGUCAAACUUUGUCUCCCUAACUUCCUAUUUUUUGAUACGUACUUUGCAGGAUGACCUCAGGGCUGUGCAGAUUGAGUUAGAGGGAUUUGAAUCAUGUCAAUGUCUCCAUAACUGAGUGGGCACGGCUUACUGCUGUGGACUUAUACCCUUGAUUUUUAUCUCACAUUUGGCAUUUUUAAAAAAAAAAUAAGGGCCUUUA
rnacentral:lncRNA from 1 species